rnacentral:rRNA from 1 species
UACGUAGGGUGCAAGCGUUGUCCGGAAUUAUUGGGCGUAAGGAGCUCGUAGGCGGUCUGUUGCGUCGGCUGUGAAAACCCGGGGCUCAACCCCGGGCCUGCAGCCGAUACGGGCAGACUAGAGUUCGGCAGGGGAGACUGGAAUUCCUGGUGUAGCGGUGAAAUGCGCAGAUAUCAGGAGGAACACCGGUGGCGAAGGCGGGUCUCUGGGCCGAUACUGACGCUGAGGAGCGAAAGCGUGGGGAGCGAACAGG